rnacentral:tRNA from 1 species
GGGGCUGUGGCCAAUCCCGGCAUGGCGACUGACUCCAGAUCAGUCGAUCGGGGGUUCGAAUCCCUCCGGCCCCACCA